rnacentral:rRNA from 1 species
AACGAACGCUGGCGGCAUGCCUAACACAUGCAAGUCGAACGAGACCUUCGGGUCUAGUGGCGCACGGGUGCGUAACGCGUGGGAACCUGCCCUUAGGUUCGGAAUAACUCCCCGAAAGGGGUGCUAAUACCGGAUAAUGUCUUCGGACCAAAGAUUUAUGGCCUUUGGAUGGGCCCGCGUUGGAUUAGCUAGUUGGUAGGGUAAAAGCCUACCAAGGCGACGAUCCAUAGCUGGUCUGAGAGGAUGAUCAGCCACACUGGGACUGAGACACGGCCCAGACUCCUACGGGAGGCAGCAGUGGGGAAUAUUGGACAAUGGGCGAAAGCCUGAUCCAGCAAUGCCGCGUGAGUGAUGAAGGCCUUAGGGUUGUAAAGCUCUUUGACCCGGGAUGAUAAUGACAGUACCGGGAGAAUAAGCACCGGCUAACUACGUG